UAUAUUGACUAUUCUAGGUCUUUGGUUCUCCUUAUAAAUUAAUAAUCAACUUGUAAAUAUUUGCAAAAUGUUUGCAAAACUCUAUAAAGAAGAUUAAAAAUAGAAGGUUAGUGGUUUCCUGGAGGGAGGGAGAGAGGAGGGUUGAAUAGGUGAAGCACUAGGGAUUUUUUAGGGUGGUGAAAAUAUCCUGUACAAUAUUGUAAUUGUGGCCAAAUGACACUUUGCCAAAACGCAUUGAACUUUGCAGUUCAAAGAGUGAAAAUCCAUAUAAAUUUUAAAAAUCAUUUAAGAGUUUGGGAGAAUGUCAGGAUGAAAUGCAAAAUGUGACAAUAUAAUUUCUUUAUUAUUUAUUUAUUUUUAUUUUUAUUUUUAUUUUAUUUUACCUUUUAAAUUUUUUAUUAUUAUACUUUAAGUUUUAGGGUACAUGUGCACAAUGUUCAGAUUUUUCUGCAUCCUUGCCAGCAUCUGUAAAUUAAUUGGGUUAUAUGGUCAUUUUUAUGAUAUUGAUUCUU
ensembl:lncRNA novel transcript